GUCUAUGACCAUGCCACCCUGAACAUGCCCAAUCCUGUCUGAUCUCGGAAGCUAAGCAGAGUCAGGCCUGGUUAGUACUUAGAUGGGAGACCACCUAGGAAGACCAGGUGCUGUAGGUG
rnacentral:rRNA from 1 species